UCCCUGGUGGUCUAGUGGUUAGGAUUCAGCACUUUCAGUCAUAGCUGCAGCCCAGGUUCAAUCCCUGGCCUGGGAA
rnacentral:tRNA from 1 species